rnacentral:lncRNA from 1 species
AUGAAGGGGCGGCUGCACGAACCGUCCAAUCAGGUGGGCCGAGAUAGCAGGGCUCUUCCGGUGUCAUGGCGCCAAACUGAUGCGAGUCUCCCAGCUGGCCAGGCCGCUUUCUUCGGGGACUUCUGCCGGCGGCGGGCUGCGCGGAAGGACCCUGGGCGACCCUCACGCCACGCAAUGGUGACGUUGUGGACGGGAGCCCUGAGAUGGGAUGGCAUCGGGCUCCAGCCAGCUCUCCUGCUGUACCUGCUGAUGCACCUGUUUACAGUGCUGGGGAAUCUGCCCAUCAGGCUAAUGUGUGGAAUGAAUGGACACCACACACAUCCAUGUCCUUCUUGUCUGAUAUCUCCAUCUUUAAAAUUGUGUUCAGUGUGAUAAUCAAUGCUUAUCAACCUGCUGUGCUCCACUGCUGUGUCACAUGUGUGACAAGCUAAUCACAAGUUCUUCAGUUUUUGCUACAUUCAACUCUUCUUCAUGGUUAUGGGGUAAGUCCACUAUGUGUCCCUCUCAAUGACCCUGUGUUACAAAUGCACAGUAGCCCUUGUAACUGUGUCUUCCUUGGGGCUUUGUUCUGCCUUGUUGAGUUACAGCAUUUCAUAAUGCUUCUUGUCUUUUGUGAGUCUAAUAUAAUCCAAGGUUUUCUCUGCCACAUAUUUUUACAUGAAGUUGAAUUGUAGAGAGAAGAAGUCCUACUCACUGUAUAUGAAAUCCCAUUGGCUGCUUAGUCCCCAUUGUGUCCUGUGUCUUCAGUGUGGCCUCGAACAUAAGGACCCCCACUGUGGAGGGACAACAGAUGUCCCUCUCCAUGUGUGCAGUUUAUCUCGCUGUAGUUCUCAUGCACUCUGGCUCUUCAUUUGUCGUUGACUUCCCGCCUUAGUUUGGAAAUAUCUGAAAGAGGCUCUCUGAGGAUUCCAACAUGCAGUAUCCAUAACCCCAUCUUAUUCAGACUUAAGAACAAGGAUCAGAAGAGCAACAUGAAGAGGCCUUGUGCAUGAAACUCUUAACUCAGAGUUUUGUGGCUACAGGUGUAGUUAAUAUAGGCACUUUAGCCUCCAUAUUUUUUCCUUCUGUCCCAUCUGUCAGUCCACUCUGUUCUCUCUCUCUCCCUUACUGUCCUCUGGGUUUGUUGUUUGUUUGUUUCUUUCUUUCUUUCUUUCUUUCUUUCUUUCUUUCUUUCUUCUUUCUCCUUGUGUACUUUUCUUCAGAGAUUUCAAGAGCUGUAAAGCUCUUGGGCCAUAAUCCCUAGGAUAUGGUGCAAUAACCUAGGAUUAUAUGUGUUCAUAUACUUCAUAUGUUCACUUAGGACAUUGAUAAUAGAUGUACGAAGUAUGUCCCUAAUAUAUAUUUAAAAUGUCAUCAUAUAUCCUAUAACAUACUGCGUAUGGAUAAUUUAAAUUGUGGGGUUUUUUGUUUUUCUUUUUUCCGGUACUGGGGAUCAAACUCAGGACUUUGUGCUUGCCGGGCAGGUGCAGGACCACUGAGCUACAUCCCCGGCCCAAUUUACAUUGUGAUGUGACUCAGACUCGGGAGGAUUUAAACUUAGUUGCACUUUUUAACAAGGAGAGGAAUUUUUAAGAAGCUUAGAAUUUAUUAUAGAAAUGACUAGAUAUGACAACAGAGGUUUGCAGGUCAAGAAACAGUUUUAAAAAGAUAAACAGAACCUGUAAAGUAUUUGGCACGGCAGGCUGAGCUAGCAUUCAACUGGAAGGGUGAGGCGGCCAUCAAUGCACAAGGAAAAGUAGACAGUUCACAUUUGAUUAAGUUUUUUCUAUAAAUUUUUUCAUAUAAAAAUGAGAUCUUUUUUGCAUCUUUGUAUUCUACAAAGAAGUUAUUUUCAAGUUUAAAAUCUGUGCACAGUGUAAAGUACUCUUAACCAUGACAAGCUGCAGAGUGUUAGAAAGCAGGUGUCAUGUGCACUUGGUUUGGGAGAUUUUUUUUUUUUCUUUCUAAGGUGGUGAUGCUGAAUGCCAUAGGGCUUUUACUGAAAAAUGUUUGGUUUUACAUGCAGAGAUUUGCUGGAAUUAGACUAUAAUUUGUACAUGUGAACAGUAUCUGUGAAGAGCAAUCUUAGGGAAAGACUCAUUUAAGUAUUUUGGAUCAUUAAUGUGAUAUGUCAACUUGAAUAGGAACCACCUAGCAGAUUAGUUAAGAUCUGGGUGUGUGUGGAUGAUUGACAUGGAGGCCACAAACUAAGGAGGGAAGCACCACCCUGUAUGUGGUUGGCAUGAAAGAAUGAAUUUGUACCAUGGGUGGAGUAAAAAGCAAAAGAAAAAAGAAAGCCUUCCCUUUUUUUCUGUGGAGGAGGUCUGUUCUUCGUCACUGCUUUUGGAUGUUGUCUUCAGUUCCUCAGACUUCCAGCACCAAGUCUUCAGAACGCCAGAAGUAGCCGAAGGGGCCAGGGACCAGGUGUAAUCUUGAAGGUCGUGCCUCUUUGCCUCACUGAGACACACCUAGACAUGUGCUUUGCUACAGCCUACAUAUCUCUUGAGCCAAUAUAUUUGACAGGUCUAACCAUCUCAUAACUCCAGGUGAGAUUUACUGUGGUGAAAUUAACGUGUUAAAGAAGAGAAGUUAUUUACAGAGACUUUGUUUCCAUUUUUUCCAUUUCUCAUCACUUUUCCUUUCCCUUCUUUCCUUUCCCCUGCCCCUCCUGCUACCCUUACCCCUUUGGACCUUCUCUUCCUAUUUUGCAUUAUCGAUUAUUCAUUCUAAUCAUUGGUACAUUUUAGGUGUACAAUAUAAUGACAUUUAUCAUUGGAAAUUUGCACCUUUACAUAGUCUCUCUUGGUUCUUAUUUUUCACCCUUGCCCAGCCCUCAGGGAGGGCUAGGAAUGGGGAAAAAAUAAGAACCAAGAUGCAUCCUGUGAAAGUACAAUUCCUAAUGAGAAAUGUCAUUGUGUUGUAUACCUAAAAUGAACCAAUAAAAGAAUUUAACAAAAAAAAGAAAAGAAGAAGGGAAGCUUUCAGCCUGUGAGGAGGGAAUAGCAUUUGGGGGAAUUUGCAAUGUUAAGUCCUUACGUAUCUAUACCUCAUCACAGGCUAAGUUUGCCUGCAUUUGUCAGACUACAUUUUGCCUAUCAUUUUGACCCUCCUGGGAAGAUUAGGCUUCAGAAUUCUGGAUUUCUUGGGACCUUGGAUAAAGUAAGUUGCCUGUCUGAGGCAGCUGAAAUACUUUUCUUUCAUCUUGAUUUCUUUGCAUAAUAUUGCUGGCAUAUUAAAACAUUUCUUUAUUUAUUCCAUUCUUUUUUGGUGUGGUUUUAUUUUCUUUGUUGAAAAUGUCUAGAUUGAGUGAUAAGGUGUGAAGAAGGUUUGUGCCAUAAACCACAUCUCAUUCAGUUUUCUACCCCCUGACCACAUUAGGAUAUCCCUUCUAUGCCAUUGUAUCUUGCCCUUGCCUGGACCCAGGUUUUUCUUCGGGCUUGGGGGAUUUCUCCAUGUGAUGCUGAGCUGGAAGUGCAGAAGCACUGUUCUGAUCCCGUUUUUCAGCAGCAACACUCAGGAAGAGUACACCAAGUACAGUAAGGAGACAUGGUCACCUCUGAAAAGCUUGGAGCAAAUUUUGCUUCAAUGCAAUUAUUCCUCAGGCUGGAUCACAUCAACAUCCAGCAAGGAAGCUUGGGAAGGAAUGGUUUUGGUUAGAAUCCAUCAGUGAGCCUCACAUGUAGGUGAUUUUUUUUCCCUCUUGUCCCUCUUGCCUCAGUGGGCAGGAAACAAAGCAACAUUGCAUCAGUGAAGAAGAGUGUGUGUUGUGUGAACUAUUCAGUCAGGCAUGCUGGCUGGAGAAGGAAAUCCCCUCUGGCAGGCACCAAAGUCAGGAGCUCCCAGUGUGUUACCGAGAGCUGUUCCAGCUGGCUCACACUGACUUGCUCGGUGGAUUCUGCUGAGUGCAGCUGCAUGGACUCUGACAGACCCAUAGUCGUGGAACUGGUGAUUGCACAGGGCUGAGCAACCCAAGAGAGGAGUGGGAGUUGUGGUGUAGUGCUACAUGCUGGUUGGAAGUGUACAGAAUCAGCAUUCACCUGAGGAGUCUUUGUUGUUUUAUGUCAACUAUUACUGGUACACAUUUGGUCCUGUCUCCUGACACUGCUGCCAGGACCUAAGCGUCCUAUUUUUUAAAAAAUUCAUUUUAUUGAUACAAUUUAAAUAUUAACUAUCACAUUCAUCAAAGGGAAUGUGUGCCUCUACAUGCUAUAACACGAUUCCUCAUUUUCUCCCUCCCCCAACACUCCUCCCCUUAUUUACAAAAGCUUUGUUUCCAAUUUUUCCUUUUUUCUCAUUUUCUCCUUUUCCCAUCCUUUCUCUCAUCACAGUUUCCCUUUCCUUUUGACCAAUUUCUUCCUAUUUUAUAUUAUCUAUUACACAUUUGUGUCCUUAUUUUUUUUCCCCAUUAACUUUAUUGGUACGUUUUAGGUAUACAAUACAGUUACAUUCAUCAUUGGGAUCUUGCACCUUUACAUGAGUAUCUUGGUUCUUAUUUUUGCCCCCCUUCCCCUGCCCUCCCUUCACCCCCUCCACAUUGCCCUAUUUGGAAAGACCUUGUUUCCAUUUUUUUCCUUUCUCAUAUAUUUUUUCCCCUCUUCCCCCCCACGUCCCCCACCCCCCUAGACCUUUUCUUCCUAUUACACAAUAUCAAUUACGCAUUUUUAAAAUUACAAUAUCAAGACUUAGGAGAC